UACGGAGGAUGCGAGCGUUAUCCGGAUUUAUUGGGUUUAAAGGGUGCGUAGGCGGCUUUUUAAGUCAGCGGUGAAAUUUUGCAGCUUAACUGUAACAGUGCCGUUGAUACUGGGGAGCUAGGAUUUGGUUGCUGUGGGUGGAAUGUGUGGUGUAGCGGUGAAAUGCUUAGAGAUCACACAGAGUAUCGAUUGCGAAGGCAGCUCACAAAGCCAAGAUUGACGCUGAGGCACGAAAGUGUGGGGAUCAAACAGGAUUAGA
rnacentral:rRNA from 1 species